CCUACGGGCGGCAGCAGUGAGGAAUAUUGGUCAAUGGUCGGGAGACUGAACCAGCCAAGCCGCGUGAGGGAGGAAGGUACAGAGUAUCGUAAACCUCUUUUGUCAGGGAACAAAGGCGGGGACGUGUCCCCGGAUGAGUGUACCUGAAGAAAAAGCAUCGGCUAACUCCGUGCCAGCAGCCGCGGUAAGACGGAGGAUGCGAGCGUUAUCCGGUUUUAUUGGGUUAAAAGGGGGCGCGGGCGGUCUGUUAAGUCAGCGGUCAAAGCCCGGGGCUCAACCCCGGCCCGCCGUUGAAACUGGCAGUCUCGAGUUGGAGAGAAGUAUGCGGAAUGCGCGGUGUAGCGGUGAAAUGCAUAGAUAUCGCGCAGAACUCCGAUUGCGAAGGCAGCAUGCCGGCUCCACACUGACGCUGAGGAACGAAAGCCAGGGUAGCAAAUGGGAUUAGAUACCCGAGUAGUC
rnacentral:rRNA from 1 species